GUGGAAAAUAAGUAUUUGGUCAAUAACAAAAAUUCAACUCAAUACUUUGUAAUAUAACCUUUGUUGGCAAUAACAGAGGUCAAACGAUUACUAUAGGUCUUUACCAGGUUUGCACACACAGUAGCUGGUAUUUUGGCCCAUUCCUCCAUGCAGAUCUUCUCGAGAGCAGUGAUGUUUUGGGGCUGUCGCCGAGCAACACGGACUUUCAACUCCCUCCACAGAUUUUCUAUGGGGUUGAGGUCUGGAGACUGGCUAGGCCACUCCAGGACUUUCAAAUGCUUCUUACGGAGCCACUCCUUCGUUGCCCGGGCGGUGUGUUUGGGAUCAUUGUCAUGCUGGAAGACCCAGCCACGUUUCAUCUUCAAAGCUCUCACUGAUGGAAGGAGGUUUUGGCUCAAAAUCUCACGAUACAUGGCCCCAUUCAUUCUUUCCUUAACACGGAUCAGUCGUCCUGUCCCCUUAGCAGAAAAACAGCCUCAAUGCAUGAUGUUUCCACCCCCAUGCUUCACAGUAGGUAUGGUGUUCUUGGGAUGCAACUCAGUAUUCAUCUUCCUCCAAACACGACGAGUUGAGUUUAUACCAAAAAGUUCUAUUUUGGUUUCAUCUGACCACAUGACAUUCUCCCAAUCCUCUGCUGUAUCAUCCAUGUGCUCUCUGGCAAACUUCAGACGGGCCUGGACAUGCAAUGGCUUAAGCAGGGGGACACGUCUGGUACUGCAGGAUUUGAUUCCCUGUCGGCGUAGUGUGUUACUGAUGGUAACCUUUGUUACUUUGGUCCCAGCUCUCUGCAGGUCAUUCACCAGGUCCCCCCGUGUGGUUCUGGGAUUUUUGCUCACCGUUCUCAUGAUCAUUUUGACCCCACGGGAUGAGAUGCGUGGAGCCCCAGAUGGAGGGAGAUUAUCAGUGGUCUUGUAUGUCUUCCAUUUUCUGAUAAUUGCUCCCACAGUUGAUUUUUUCACACCAAGCUGUUUACCUAUUGUAGAUUCACUCUUCCCAGUCUGGUGCAGGUCUACAAUUCUUUUCCUGGUGUCCUUUGACAGCUCUUUGGUCUUGGCCAUAGUGGAGUUUGGAGUCUGACUG
rnacentral:lncRNA from 1 species